AAUCAGCCAACCCCCUUGUGCUGGGUCUCAGGGACACCCAAUACAGCUGCUCAGGCCCAGCCAGAUGGCAAAGGGCCCUCAACCAACCCUGGGACCAGAACCACAAAAAACCACCUACUUACUGGCUCCCGAGCCCAAGCUUAACAGGUGAAAUGGACCACUCUUCACCAGGAAGGGCAGGGCUGUGCCAAGCUCACCCCAGACUUCUAGGCCUGGGAGGGUAGAGUCCCAUGGAGCUGUGGGCUGCCCCCUACCCAACCUGACCUCUGCUUCCUCUCUUCCCUUCUCCCCACCUAAACAUUCCUUCACAGUGGCAAUAGCAAAGGAAAAGACAUUAACACGAUUAAAUCCCUCCGAGUCCUCCGGGUGCUACGACCUCUUAAAACCAUCAAGCGGCUGCCAAAGCUCAAGGCUGUGUUUGACUGUGUGGUGAACUCGCUUAAAAACGUCUUCAACAUCCUCAUCGUCUACAUGCUAUUCAUGUUCAUCUUCGCCGUGGUGGCUGUGCAGCUCUUCAAGGGGAAAUUCUUCCACUGCACUGACGAGUCUAAGGAGUUUGAGAAAGAUUGUCGAGGCAAAUACCUCCUGUACGAGAAGAAUGAGGUGAAGGCGCGAGAUCGGGAGUGGAAGAAGUAUGAAUUCCACUACGACAAUGUGCUGUGGGCUCUGCUGACCCUCUUCACCGUGUCCACGGGAGAAGGCUGGCCACAGGUCCUCAAGCACUCAGUGGAUGCCACCUUUGAGAACCAGGGCCCCAGCCCGGGGUACCGCAUGGAGAUGUCCAUUUUCUACGUUGUCUACUUUGUGGUGUUCCCCUUCUUCUUUGUCAAUAUCUUUGUGGCCUUGAUCAUCAUCACCUUCCAGGAGCAAGGGGACAAGAUGAUGGAGGAAUACAGCCUGGAGAAAAAUGAGAGGGCCUGCAUCGAUUUCGCCAUCAGCGCCAAGCCACUGACCCGACACAUGCCGCAGAACAAGCAGAGCUUCCAGUACCGUAUGUGGCAGUUCGUGGUGUCUCCACCUUUCGAGUACACGAUCAUGGCCAUGAUCGCCCUCAACACCAUCGUGCUGAUGAUGAAGUUCUACGGGGCUUCUGUUGCUUAUGAAAAUGCCCUGAGGGUGUUCAACAUCGUCUUCACCUCCCUCUUCUCCCUGGAAUGUGUGCUGAAAGUCAUGGCUUUUGGGAUUCUGAAUUAUUUCCGCGAUGCCUGGAACAUCUUCGACUUUGUGACUGUUCUGGGCAGCAUC
rnacentral:sRNA from 1 species